GCGGCCUAUCAGCUUGUUGGUGAGGUAAUGGCUCACCAAGGCGACGACGGGUAGCCGGCCUGAGAGGGCGACCGGCCACACUGGGACUGAGACACGGCCCAGACUCCUACGGGAGGCAGCAGUGGGGAAUAUUGGGCAAUGGAGGAAACUCUGACCCAGCGACGCCGCGUGAGGGAUGAAGGCCUUCGGGUUGUAAACCUCUUUCAGUAGGGAAGAAGCGAAAGUGACGGUACCUACAGAAGAAGCACCGGCUAACUAUGUGCCAGCAGCCGCGGUAAUACAUAGGGUGCAAGCGUUGUCCGGAAUUAUUGGGCGUAAAGAGCUCGUAGGUCGUUUGUCGCGUCGAUUGUGAAAAUCUGAGGCUCAACCUCAGACCUGCAGUCGAUACGGGCAAACUAGAGUGUGGUAGGGGAGACUGGAAUUCCU
rnacentral:rRNA from 1 species